ACCAGGAUGGCCGAGUGGUUAAGGCGUUGGACUUAAGUUCAAAUGUACGGAUGUACGCGUGGGUUCGAACCCCACUCCUGGUA
rfam:Nematostella vectensis strain CH2 x CH6 NEMVEscaffold_350_Cont24646, whole genome shotgun sequence.